AGGAUAAUAAUUAAAAUAUAAUUUUUAAUUUGCAUUUAGAAUUUAAUACAAAAGUAUUUUAUCUUA
rnacentral:tRNA from 1 species